CGGCCACCCCCGAGCACCGUCGGAGCCACCCCUGCUCCCUGCGGCCAGCUCGGGUCAGCCCAGACCGAGCCGGUUCGAACUCGGCGUCCACGCCUUAUCUCGGCCGCGUCGCCCUCCUGUCGGCCCCGGCGACCUCCGGCAGCCCGGCGCGCGCGUCCCCCGCCAUCCCCGCAUGCCGCCGGCCGCCGCUGCAACAUCCUGCGGCCGCCUGGAACCGUGCGGGCUGAGGCCGAGUCCGUUCAGUUUCCAAGCGCCGCCGCCGCCCACCGAGGGGUGCACCGCCUUCCCCUUGGCCUCCGGCGCCGCACCGUAGCCGCCCCGACCUUCUCCGGCCGCNNNNNNNNNNNNNNNNNNNNNNNNNGGCAAAAUCCGCCGACGGAACGCGGUUUUGGUUUGGAAUUAUUCCGACGAUGCUUCGUGAGCUAUUGUGUAGUCGCCGAGCCUUGUUGGCUGGUCACUCACAUCAUUUCGAGAGUUCAGAAAUGACGGGUGAGCGACGGUGGGUUCCGGUGUCGAAAUAGACACUUCCGGGAACCCGGAUCGGAACGAUUAUCCGACGAUAAUCGUUUCGGAGUGAGUUAAGGUCUCUGCUGCCAAGUCACACGUAAAUUUGUAUUUAGGGGCAGCGGGUGACUCGUGGUACGAGUCGGUGCCUUCCGGGAUAGUCCGUGGGUCCCUGCAGAGUCUCGGUGCGAUUACGGGAUUUCC
rnacentral:lncRNA from 1 species